UUAAUAACAGCAUUUUCUACUUAUAGUAGAGCAAAUGAACUCUUUAAAAUCAAGCAGUGCAAAAAAAUAAAAAUAAAAUAAAAUCAAGCAGUGCUUUCUGAAACUGCUUCACCUAAGGUAACAGUGAAGGGAGAGCAGCAUUUAAUGAAAACAAGCAAAUGAUGAAGGAAAUUCAAACAGGCUGGGAUGGAGAAUGGGGACAGAAAGAGAGAAGAAUCUGCUGAGGGAACAGGAGACAGAGGAAAAACAGGAAAAGAAUUUUAAAGAAAGCAUGCCCAAGAUCAACAAUACAGAGGAGAAAGAAUCUUCCAGGUGAAUCCCGAUGCCGCUUUGUGAGGACACUCAAGCAGCCCUUGGAGAGGUCCAGUUGGUGAACAGUUGAGCCCAAAUGAAUUCUAAGUAGAAUGGACAAUUCUGUAAGCAAUUUUACCAAAAUGUCAAAAUGCAAACUUUGUGAAGAGUGAGACAAAUAAGCUUUACUUCUGUGUUUUCAGCUACUCAGCCUGGCUCUGUCAGCAAGUUUUCUUCUUGGCCAAAGAUGUUUAGAGCUGUGGAUCCAUCCUUUUAGUUCUGUUCAUCAAAAACAAAACAAAACAAAAAACAAAAAAACAAAACCUCAAGUGUCUAAUUAGAUGAUUUAGAAUCACUAAAUCACCGUGGAAUAUUUAAAGUUUAAAGUUGAUUUUAAAUAUUCCCUAAGGUAUAAAUAAAAUAGCUAUUUCCUAA